UCAACUCACACAGCUGUCAUAUAAACCCUUCCAUUCCCCAAAUUACACCUCUCUCUCUCUCUCUCUCUCUCUCGCUUCAGGUGUGGUCUCUAGGGUCUCUUCCUAAGUUUCCUAUUAUUUGCUCUGAUUUUUCUUGGGUUUUAGGGUUUUCGUUUCAAUGUUUAUGGCUCUCUCUCGAGGUUUUAGUUUCCCUGUUAAACCUUAGCUGGUAUUUCAUUUUGUAUGCUAGGGUUUUCUUGGUUUUAUUUUUUUCGUUUUUGUAUGUGGGCUUACAAUCUGGGUUUACUCUGUUAGGAACAAAAUUUGAUUUUUAUUUUUCCUUUCCGUUGUUUCGUUUGAAGGUCUUAUUUGCAGCAAUUGGGUCAUUUCGGAGUAGUUAUCUGAUAUAUAUCCCUACGCGUUAAGUGACUCUGAUUUCUCAUCGAUUUGGUGAAAGUUUAUUGCAUCGUUUGUCUGUUUUCCUUAAUUUGAUAUUUUUCGUUGGGGGGUUUUAGUCGUUUUCAGGAUAUUCUUAAAAUCUUCUGUCCCACGUUAAUCUUAUCUGGGGUUCCUUUGAAAAAAAAUAUUAGUUGGUUGAUUUGUGUUCUUAUUUUUUCCCAUCAAACAAUUCAAACAAAAGUCUAACACUGCUACUGUCUUCCACCAAAACAAUCAAAAGACAAUACUUAGAAUGUGACUGGAAUGGAACUUUACACAAAAAUAAGGAAAAAAUUAAACCGUCGAGUCCAGUGCCAAAACUAGAUCAUCCACUAGAGCCUCCCCCCAAUGUCCAAUGCCAAAAAUUAAACCGGCAUUGGACAUUUCAUUUUUUUUUUCUUUUUGGUGUAAAGCCUCUUGCAUUCUAUUUAGAGUUAGAAUUGUUUUGGUGGAAGACAGUACUGUGGGACUUCUUUAUGAAUUAUUUGAUUGGAAAAAAAUCGCUGCUGCCUCUGGGGUUUCGAUUUCAUCCAACCGAUGUUGAGCUGGUUAUGUACUAUCUAAAGUGGAUAGUAAUGGGGAAAGAGUUCUGUUUUGAAGCCAUUGCAGAGGUUGAUAUCUACAAGUUUGCCCCAUGGGGUCUUCCAGAUAGACCAAGCUUGAGAAGUUGUGAUCUUAGGUACUUAUUUUGCCCAGUGGAGGAAAAAAAAAAAAAAAAAACUCAAAUGGGGCUAGAAUGAAUCGCUCAACUGAAGUUGGGUACUGGAAAAUCAUCAGAAAGGAUAGGCCUGUUCAUCACAGUUGGUUUGAUAAAAACUUUGAUUUUUCACUGUGGAAAAGCACCACAAGGGGAACGAACGAAUUGGGUUAUGCAUGAGUAUAGACUGGAAGAUAAGAAUAUGGCUAAUAAAGGAGUUAUUCAAAAGGAUGGCCUAGGCCCUAGGAAUGGUGCCCAAUACUGCGCACCAUUUAAGGAGGAAGAUUGGAAUGACGACGAUGAAGUCAACUGUGAAGAAGCUGGCCCUCCUCGUUGUUUUUCUACACCAACCUGUGUGCUGCCUAGUGACUGUAACAGCUCAGCUAUCACGUGCAACCUUUUUUGGAUAGCAUUUUUUCUGAGUCAUGUUUACCUCAAACUAUGGCAUCUGACAGCAAGGGUCUUCCAGCAGUUCCCACUAAUGAUAUCGUUUUAGAGGAGUUAUGUAUAGUUCUUGGUGAUGGUGAUAUUCUUCCAGCAGGGCAUGCUAAUAUUGGUGAUAAUGUCUUAUUGAUCAAAAAAAUAUUGGUGAUAAUGUCCUUUCAAGGCUUGCUUCCUUUAUGGAAGAUGACACUUUGAACUCGAAUGAAGAUGACAAAAAUAAGGUGGGUGAUAUUCUUCUAGCAGUGAUUACUACUAAUGGGGAUGAUGCCCUUUCAAUGCUCGCUUCCUUUACGGAAAACAGCACUUUGAUCUAGAAUGAAGAUGACAAAAAUAAGGUGCGUAAACUUUUUAUGUGUGAUUUCUUGUAGGUUGGUUUUUUAGGAUUGAUCUUUCUAUUUGGUUUGUAAUUCUUUGGCUUUCUUAGUUUGUGGUUGGGUCUUUUAGUUUUUGAUACUUGGGUUUUGGUCUUUAUGUUUAUUUAUAACUCCCAGGUGUCUAGUUGUAACUACGGUUUUCCUCCGCCAAAAGUGAGGGUUAUCAAUAAAAUUGGGGUACCGUCCUCUUCUUAAAAAAAAAAAAAAA